GAAGAACGCUGGCGGCGUGCCUAAUACAUGCAAGUCGAACGCAGUGGGGACGGGUGAGUAACACGUGGGUAACCUCCCGUCAGAGGGGAUAACACUUGGAAACAGGAGCUAAAGCGAUACGGAAGGAUGAACCCGCGGUGCAGUAGCUAGUUGGUGAGGUACAGGCGCACCACGGCCACGAUGCAUAGCCGCCCGGAGAGGGUGAUCAGCCACACUGGAACUGAGACACGGCCCAGACUCCUACGGGAGGCAGCAGUAGGGAAUCUUCGGCAAUGGACGAAAGUCUGACCGAGCAACGCCGCGUGAGUGAAGAAGGUUUUCGGAUCGUAAAACUCUGUUGUUAGAGAAGCGGUAUCUAACCAGAAAGCCACGGCUAACUACGUGCCAGCAGCCGCGGUAAUAC
rnacentral:rRNA from 1 species